CCGGGAUUAUAGGAUUUCACCCCUACCCCGGAAAUACCGUCGGCCUUUCCCGCCUCCUAGCCAGACAGUAUCCCCCGCAGCCCAACGAUUAAAUCGUUGGAUUUAACGAAGGACUUGCCCAACCGGCUACGAAUGCUUUAGGCCCAAUAAACGUCCCCACCACUCGGAGAGCUGGUAUUACCGC
rnacentral:rRNA from 1 species